rnacentral:tRNA from 1 species
GCGAGUGUAGUUUAAUGGUAAAAUAUCGGCCUCCAAAACCGUAUGAUUAAGGUUCAAAUCCUUAGACUCGUGCCA